CUGACUAAAAUACAAUGACCAAGACCAAAUUAGUGGUGUGAAGUCUAAACUUCCUUUUUUUUCACCAUUCUGUUUAGCUGUACUUCCCCUUUUUUUGUAGAUGUUUGCCUUUGAUCCACAACAACAUCUAUGAACCCAGCUCAACUAUAAGGUGAGAUGCUUCAAAGUGCGUUAGAACUAUAGGUACAAACCUUAAUGUACUGUCUACAUGAGUGUUAUAUGUUAUUUUUUGGUAUAUGUUAUUUUUGUUACCUGUUGUAUGCCGUCUACUGCGUAGAUGUUGGCUGCCAAGUCGUAAGAAUUUUGCUGCGCUGAAGCAAUUUGGUGUAUGCGAUAAUAAACACUUUGACUUGACUUGACUAAUGCACUGAAAGAUUAUUCAGUCGAUACCUUUUGUUCACAGACAUCUGUAGGGAGGACAUGGACAAUUAUUUCAUUCAUGCAGGAAGAUUCAAAAUUACAAGAGCCCCACCACUGCCAUGGGUUUUUGGUCCAGGUUAUCGAUACUUCUUGUUCGUCAUUUGGAUGUCCUAUAUUAUGGUCAUAUUUACUCUAACAUAUCUGAAAAUGAGAAUAGAAGAAACCAUGGAUAGAGUCAAUACACUGAUGCAAGGAAAUGUGACUUCAGCAGAGGAAGAUGCAGAGGGGAAUGAUGACUAUUGUGAAGUUGAAGAAAUACCUGAAUAAUUGCAUUUUUUUGAUAAUCACUAACUGAGGGCCAAACUGAUGUUGUGAAAGAAUGUGAAUAUAUGUUUAAGACAUUAAAAAAAAAAUGUCUGAGACAAUUAGCGACCAACAACUGUCUGACUCAACAACAUUUUAACGUUGGCCUCACCUAAUACAUACAGCGUUUUGGAUAAAAAGAGCACGUCCGUUAUGUCCUUGAAGUAUUCAUAUUUCUAUUUGCUACCUCGAGCAUUUUGUGAUCUAUUUAAAUACCAGUGAGGAUUCUGAUACUGGAUUUGGCUCAUUUGAUAUGUAGUUGAAGAUAACAUGAUUACCACAGAUGUUUCAGAACAGGAUAUACAGUGCCCUCCACAAUUAUUGGCACCCCUAGUGAAUAUGAGCAAAACAGGCUAUAAAAAAAUAUGUCUUUGCUGUUUAUCCUCUUGGUCUUUCACUCAAAAUAUUCACAAAAAUCUUACCUUUUCAUUGAAGUAAAAUUAUUGAAAGAAAAAAAACUGUUG
rnacentral:lncRNA from 1 species